rnacentral:sRNA from 1 species
UUGAUUAUUUGCACCACACGAGAAAUGGUGGGUUAGCGCAUUCCGAAGCUGCUAAAACAACCCGCCCUCGAGGCGGGUUGU